CAGCAGCCACGGUAAUACGGAGGGGGCUAGCGUUGUUCGGAAUUACUGGGCGUAAAGCGUGCGUAGGCGGUUCGUUAAGUCUGUUGUGAAAGCCCCGGGCUCAACCUGGGAAUGGCAAUGGAUACUGGCGAGCUAGAGUGUGUCAGAGGAUGGUGGAAUUCCCGGUGUAGCGGUGAAAUGCGUAGAGAUCGGGAGGAACAUCAGUGGCGAAGGCGGCCAUCUGGGACAACACUGACGCUGAGGCACGAAAGCGUGGGGAGCAAACAGGAUUAGAUACCCCAGUAGUCCCUGUCUCUUAUAC
rnacentral:rRNA from 1 species